rnacentral:pre_miRNA from 1 species
GUGAGGACUCGGGAGGUGGAGGGUGGCGCUGCCAGGGCCAGGGCACCGCCUCAGCUCGCUUCUCCCCCCACCUCCUCUCUCCUCAG